rnacentral:misc_RNA from 1 species
ACUAAAUCGAGACGGGCCCCUCGGGGUCCGGCCCGUACAAACCCUCUGCGUACCCGUACCUUUGUUGCUUCCCGUCGGGGCCCUCGGCUCCCGGCGGGGAGGUCUACCAAAACUCCUGUCUUUGCAUGCAGUCUGUAGAUGGCGGCUAGUCCGCGACAAUUAAAAGUUA